UUCCCUUUUAUUUUAGAAGUUUUUUUUCCUUUUUAAUAACUAUGUAGAUAGGCCCUCAAUAGAAACAUGCAUGUAUUUAUUGCUAAAUCAUUUUCAAUGAGAAUAUAUCUAAAAACAGCUUGCAAAAUAUGUAGAUCCGCUGUCUGCAGUUUUUGCAAGCCCUCAUUGGUUUCCUCAGGCCAGACUGAGUCUGAAAGGACCAUAUAGGUGCUUCACAUUGAGAAGACUCUGAUUUUGAGCUGGAAGCACGAACAAUCGGCUA